ACCACGCAGACAUCCUGGGGAACUGAGAGCCUGCAACAAGGAGAUUCCCUGAUGGACCUUCGAGCCAGUCCUCUCCAGCUCUUCCCUUGAAGAGAAAUGAUCAGAGAGGUGCCAGGGAUUGAACUUGGAUCACCAGGCUUGGAGGCAAGCACCUUUGACAUACUAAGCCACUGCCGUCCAUAAGAACAUUACACAAAGACCUGGAAUCUUCAAAGCCAAGCUGUGUAUGAUACACAGAAGUGGGAAAGAGGCAAAUCAUUUAUUUGUUACUAGGUACUUUUUCUUGUGGGAAGAAAGUUUUUUGUUAAUUCACUCAACAUUUAUUGAGAGAUGCAAGCCAUCAAAGAAAUGGCCCCUCCAGAAACUAGACACUACAGACCAAGGGUGAACGCCUAGCCUGGAUCACCGCAGCUCAGGAAGAGGCUGCAGAAACAG
ensembl:antisense